UUGACCUCGAAUCAGGUAGGAAUACCCGCUGAACUUAAGCAUAUCAAUAAGCGGAGGNNNNNNNNNNNNNNNNNNNNNNNNNNGUAACGGCGAGUGAAGCGGUAACAGCUCAAAUUUGAAAUCUGGCUCCUUCGGAGUCCGAGUUGUAAUUUGUAGAAGAUGCUUUGGGUUGUGGGCUCGGCCUAAGUUCCUUGGAACAGGACGUCAUAGAGGGUGAGAAUCCCGUAUGUGGCCAUGGCCCGCGCCUAUGUAAAGCUCUUUCGACGAGUCGAGUUGUUUGGGAAUGCAGCUCAAAAUGGGUGGUAAAUUUCAUCUAAAGCUAAAUAUGGGCCAGAGACCGAUAGCGCACAAGUAGAGUGAUCGAAAGAUGAAAAGCACUUUGGAAAGAGAGUUAAACAGUACGUGAAAUUGUUGAAAGGGAAGCGCUUGCAACCAGACUUGGGCGCUGCCGAUCACCCCGAGUUCUCUCGGGUGCACUCGACAGCGCACAGGCCAGCAUCGGUUCGGGUGGCUGGAUAAAGGCCGUAGGAAUGUAGCUCUCUUCGGGGAGUGUUAUAGCCCACGGUGCCAUGCAGCCCAGCCGGACCGAGGACCGCGCCUUCGGGCUAGGAUGCUGGCGUAAUGGUUGUAAGCGACCCGUCUUGAAACACGGACCAAGGAGUCUAACAUCUAUGCGAGUGUUUGGGCGUUAAACCCAUACGCGGAAUGAAAGUGAACGUAGGUGAGAACCCCUUUGGGGCGCAUCAUCGACCGAUCCUGAUGUCUUCGGAUGGAUUUGAGUAAGAGCAUAGC
rnacentral:rRNA from 1 species